GAAUCAAAUAUGAAAACCAUAACGGAAGAAGAAGAAAACUAAGGUAGCAACCAUAGCAAUUGCUUCCAAAAGAGAGGCAAUCUUGAAUAAAAUAAAUUCAACGAACCGAUGAUGACACAAUUUGUAUAGACUCUUCUUCUUCCGCGAACACAAAUUCCUAAAUCUCCGUCUCAAUGAGGUUGCCUUAUAAGUCCUAGAAUUAUUAUUAUUAUUAUCAUCGUC
rnacentral:misc_RNA from 1 species